rfam:Camelus ferus unplaced genomic scaffold scaffold917, whole genome shotgun sequence.
GAGGGUAUAGCUCAGGGGUAGAGUGCCUGCUUAGCACGCUUGAGGUCCUGGAUUCAAUCCCCAGUACCUCCA